rnacentral:lncRNA from 1 species
UGGAUGGUCUCUCCUGUGGGAUUCCGAGGGCUAUACGUCGUUCUUGCUCCAGCCGUUUUCGCUGAUCAGAUGCCUCCUUGGCUCGGGCCUCAUUAAACAGACGCUGCUGUUCAAGUGCAAUCUGCUCACGGUGAAUUAAAGUUGGCAGCGGCUGCUGCUGUUGGGCUGCUGCUUCCUGCAAGAGCUGCUGUUGGAGCGGAAGAACGUGAGUUUCCAGAUGCCUUUUGUAUCUCGGCCGUUCCAAUCUCCGGGGGAUGAAUGGAUGCAUAAUAAGCUUUCUUGCUUCCAGAUUUGGAUGAGUAGAGAGUGAUGUUGCCAUUCUGCUGCUAUCCGUGUUAAAGAUGUUCUCUGCUGAGUCGAUGUUGUGUGCCUCUCAGAUGUCCUGGCUUCUGAUGUAUCUGCUGGCCAUUGCAAUCAUAUCAUAUCAUAUUUCCAUAUCGGGGCGAUUAAUUGCUUAUAUACAACCAUUUUGCAUUCUUUUGACAGACGGCUCUGACUGCCUAUAAUCCAGUUUAACUUGAUGGCUGCUAACCUCACUCUAUCAACCAGACAUGAUACGUGUGCAUGCAGAACCAGCUUCCUGUCCAUUAUCAGGCCUAGGUAGCGGUGACUGGACUUAUUAACAAUAUGAGUAUCAUACAUUUUUGGUGACAGUUCUCUAAUUCCAUUUUCAAUUGAUUUCCUUGUGUAUAAUACAUGUAUCGUUUUAUCUUUGUUUAGGCUGAUGCCACAUUUAGAGGCCCAGGAGGUGAAGCUUUGGAGAUAUUUCUCCUUCGUACGGACCGCUGUAGUGGCCAAGCUUCUGGCACACAGGAUGAUGGUGUCGUCUGCGUAUGUAGAUAGCAACAUGUCCUUAUAGUAAUCUGACCUCCAUCUAUCAUUUUGUCCCUCUAGGUGCGGCAGCGGCAUGUCUGACGUGAAAACAGUGUACAACACGGGGCCAAGGACACUCCCCUGUGGGACUCCAGCGCAGAUUUUUCCGGAUCUAGAUCGUAGUCCGUUUUGGCCAUUUACAAUAAAUGAUCUAUUAGUGAGAUAACUUUCUAGAACCUUGUAAUACGCAAAAGGCAGUAGC